ACCAGAUCGAAAACCUAAACAAUUUGGACCCGUUUAUAAGGAAAACCGGGCCGAAAACCGUACAAGUAACAAGGUUACAAGAAGAUGAGAAGAGUAGGGCGCCCACCAAAGGCAGGACAUAGCUAGCAGACUAACAAGACCAACACCAUAAAAGACACAAGUAGUUGUGGGGUGAUGUCGAGGGACACAAUACCAAGACUUUGCAAGGAACCUAACGCACCGCACUGGCGUGCAUACUGAACCCACGGCGCAACACAGGAGCACCACAUUCAACGAGUGCCACGCACGAACCUUGCCUACGAGCUUCGCCAGUGAAGUUCGGGACGAUUAGCAAGUUGGGGAGGCUACUUGCGCGUCAUUGAGCAAAGAUGACCGAGGCAACACCAAGAGCACGAAGCUUGCAGCAACACAACGGCAACCAUGAGAGGGUCUUGAGC
rnacentral:rRNA from 1 species